rnacentral:rRNA from 1 species
UACGUAGGGUGCGAGCGUUGUCCGGAAUUACUGGGCGUAAAGAGCUCGUAGGUGGUUUGUCGCGUUGUUCGUGAAAACCCGGGGCUCAACCCCGGGCCUGCAUUCGAUACGGGCAGACUAGAGUUCGGUAGGGGAGUCUGGAAUUCCUGGUGUAGCGGUGAAAUGCGCAGAUAUCAGGAGGAACACCGGUGGCGAAGGCGGGACUCUGGGCCGAUACUGACGCUGAGGAGCGAAAGCGUGGGGAGCAAACAGG